UACAGGGGGUGCAAACGUUGCUCGGAAUUAUUGGGCGUAAAGCGCGCGUAGGCGGCUACUUAAGUCGGAUGUGAAAGCCCCUGGCUCAACUGGGGAAGUGCACCCGAAACUGAGUAGCUUGAGUGCAAAAGAGGGUCGCGGAAUUCCCGGUGUAGAGGUGAAAUUCGUAGAUAUCGGGAGGAACACCGGUGGCGAAGGCGGCGGCCUGGGUUGACACUGACGCUGAGGCGCGAAAGCCUGGGGAGCAAACAGG
rnacentral:rRNA from 1 species